UGAGUAACCUGCCCCAGUCUUUGGGAUAACCCUCGGAAACGGGGGCUAAUACCGGAUAUGACACAUGGCUGCAUGGUUGUGUGUGGAAAGUUUUUCGGUCUGGGAUGGGCUCGCGGCCUAUCAGCUUGUUGGUGGGGUGAUGGCCUACCAAGGCGACGACGGGUAGCCGGCCUGAGAGGGCGACCGGCCACACUGGGACUGAGACACGGCCCAGACUCCUACGGGAGGCAG
rnacentral:rRNA from 1 species